rnacentral:rRNA from 1 species
UGAUGUUAGCGGCGGACGGGUGAGUAACACGUGGGUAACCUGCCUGUAAGACUGGGAUAACUCCGGGAAACCGGGGCUAAUACCGGAUGGUUGUUUGAACCGCAUGGUUCAAACAUAAAAGGUGGCUUCGGCUACCACUUACAGAUGGACCCGCGGCGCAUUAGCUAGUUGGUGAGGUAACGGCUCACCAAGGCAACGAUGCGUAGCCGACCUGAGAGGGUGAUCGGCCACACUGGGACUGAGACACGGCCCAGACUCCUACGGGAGGCAGCAGUAGGGAAUCUUCCGCAAUGGACGAAAGUCUGACGGAGCAACGCCGCGUGAGUGAUGAAGGUUUUCGGAUCGUAAAGCUCUGUUGUUAGGGAAGAACAAGUACCGUUCGAAUAGGGCGGUACCUUGACGGUACCUAACCAGAAAGCCACGGCUAACUACGUGCCAGCAGCCGCGGUAAUACGUAGGUGGCAAGCGUUGUCCGGAAUUAUUGGGCGUAAAGGGCUCGCAGGCGGUUUCUUAAGUCUGAUGUGAAAGCCCCCGGCUCAACCGGGGAGGGUCAUUGGAAACUGGGGAACUUGAGUGCAGAAGAGGAGAGUGGAAUUCCACGUGUAGCGGUGAAAUGCGUAGAGAUGUGGAGGAACACCAGUGGCGAAGGCGA